GAGGAUGGUUAAAACAUAUUUGAAUUCGGCCCAAUAGAAAAUUCAUCGGACAGGAGACGAGAGGGAGAAAGAUUCAAGAAGGAGAGGUGACCCGCUCGAGGGAGACGUCGGCGAUUCAACUCACCCAGGAAACUGAUCAAAGAGCUCGAAAAUAUUAAGCUCUCUCCACACAGAUUCACAAGGUCCAACGGGGAAGCAGAAGGGAGAUCUGGCACACGGAAGGUAAAAAAUUGGUGACUGGGUGGGGUUAAUGUCCACAAGAGAAAGUGGCUAGAACCCAGGUGGACUGGACUGUACGAAGUGGGGGAGGUUACUUCACACUCAGUCCAGGUCAAAGGUAAAUCAGGCGCACCUUGGCACCACCUCACACAUUGCACUCCAGCCCCAAUCCCUUCUAGAACACUGACAGAAGUCAGAGCUGAUUUAAACAGCUUAAAUUCGAUUCCAAAGGAAGACAUUCCUGACUCAGGUGAUGCGGAAUCAAACUCCGCCUCCCCUGAUAAAGGAACCUCGCCCAGUUAGAGGGAUAUUUCUCCCUCCCUGGGCAAGGCUAGGGAUAUCUGGCCCCUUAUUUGUGAUAUUCCUACUGAUAUUUGGGGUGUCCCUGGGCACUUUCACAUGGUUAAUAGAAUAACUAUAACCGGAUUCCCAUGGAUGUAUGUCACGGACACUCUAGUCUAACUAGGUAAUAAUAGAUUAAAAAA